rnacentral:lncRNA from 10 species
GGAUUACAGGCGUGAGCCGCCACUCCCAGCUUGUUCAUCCAGUUUUUAUUGAGCAUCUAUUAUGUGCCGAUAUUGAGGUAGACUCUGGGAGUCACAGCAGUGAAUGCAGCUGCCUGGAUGCCUCGUGAGGGCCGGAGCCUCACUGGGGAGAUGGACAUGAACAGCAAAUGCACAGCGAGGAAAGCCAGGGGUCUGUGCGGGGAUGCUGCAGGACACGAGAACCAGCCAAGACCUAUGGCCCCUGCAGCCACCGAGGGCUCGAGAGCGCCCCUGUGGACUUGGCUGGGCCCUUCAUGGUGACAUCCAGGAAUGCGGCUGAGCGCGGGGCAGCCCCGGCUGUGGCCCUCGGCCCUGCUCCAGGCGGCCAUGUCAGUGUCCUCCCUCGGCGCUCCCAACACCCUACCUGGCUCUGCGAUGGCCACCCUGGACUCCUAAACACCCCAGAAAGGGAAGAGAUUUAAGAGGAACCUUGAUUCCUGCCAUUCUGCGCAGUCGUGGGUCCCUCCUCCACCUGGGGCCCUCAAGGGGAUUUCUGUCCGCACUCCCAGCCAGCGACCCCUCCCAGUUCCUGCAGCUGGAGCGGCCCUCUCUCCUGAACAUUCG